UUGAAGUUUGAAAUCAAAGAAAAUAAGUAAAUAACAUAGCCUAAACAUUCUACAAUUUGAUCCUUUUAAAAAUUUAUAUUACAAACAGACCUUCCGCAAAAUUUGUUCUCCCGUUCUCUCUCUCUUUUUUUCCACCUUUCGGUGUUAUCAUCGAAUGGGCCUCCGGUGUAGGCCCAUCAUUUCAUCAUGGGCCUCAUUCCUGCCAGCCCAUUCGUCAGCCCAAGCCGUCGAGCGGCGGCGCGUCUCCGCCGCGAGCGGCGCCGGCGAGCGGCAUCUCCUCCCCACGCCGCCUCGCCGUCGGCGACGACGUCCCCAGCGCCAAGGUCAGCCACCGGCGCCGCCGCCGCGCCCCCGGUCCCUCCUCCCCUUUCUCUCUGGCUUCUCUCAUGUCCCCCCUCUAUGCCCUCCACCGCGGGCUGCUCCGCCGCUUCGCGGCGCGCGGCCGUCGCGCUCAUCCGCAUCGAGAAGCGGUGAGCUACAACCCUUGCCGCAUUGCGAUGUUGUGACACGGGCGAGUCAUGGCCGUCGCCGCCGCCGCCGCCUUGUCGUGCCAUACGCCAUCGCAACGCGCCGCCGCGCAGCAUAGCAGGGCACGCCCGUUUGGUUCCCUCUCAAAUGGGUUCAUCUCGAGCGAUCGGAUGAAUCGGAAUCGUCGAGGCGCUGGAAGGUUCGGUUCGGUCGGUUGAUGAUCGAUUUCCCUGUGGUACGUACGAUUCAGGAAUCCCAUGCCUGUAUUUUUUUUCUCUUUGCAAAAAUUCCGUUUCAUCUUCCGCUGCUUAAUUCUGCUUGUGAUGCGUACGAAUCAGGAAUCCACAGGUUCUCUUCAGUGCCAACUAGUAUUAGUUGGUCCCAAUCUUCCAGAAUCACCAUUUCUGCUUGGAUGUUUCUAAGCAUGAUGGUAUUAGUGAGGUGUCGUCCUGCUAUGAAGAUUCCGGUGCCGGAAAUAGAGGAGAUGUAUCUGAAGGAGCACCUGGGUGUUGAUUUAGUGUAUCAUUACUUUUUUUCUUUGACAAAGAAAGAAUCUAUCAUCACUGAUGAUGAUGUGAAGAAUUGCUAGCACAUUGCUUGACUCGCUCAGCAAUACUUUCUGGAUCGCAAUCCUGUCCAUAUUCAAGGUCAAAACAAGAAUGAUUCUACCUUAACAUGGGAAAGCUCGUGCUACUUGACAAUGUCAUAAUGAAUCGCAGUCAAUCUCUGAUAUUCGUAUCUGAAGUCUCCUGCUUGUGUCCAUUUACCAUGAAACCAUCCUGGAUGAAGCCCAAUGAAUUGUGGCUGAGAACAGUUGCCUGAUUCCAGUCAUUUUCAUGUGCCCUCAGUUCACUGGCACUUGAUCUGGGAAGAAAGGCAACCUGUUUGAGAGGAACUGCCCAUCUUGAGGUAAACCCUCCAGGCCUUGUCGACAAUGGAUUCGAGUCAGCAGUGCUUUAUAUAUGCAGGAACUCAUCAGGCAUGUCGGGUUUGACAGCAAUGCGAAAGGAUCCUGUCUAUGAUUGGUGUCUGGUGACCAUCAGCAGCGGCUGGUCCGGGAAAACGGAUGCCACAGAAGGAUAUAGCGGCUCAAAUUGCGACCUGUCCACCCCACCAACACAAAGGUAUAUUUGGUUUUUGACCUAAGUUCGCUACACCCAAUCUUAGCCAUGCCAUUUCAUGCCACAAUUUAUCAGGAAAGCGUUUGAUUAAUUUGAUUAAUUUCUGCGACAAUAGCAACCCAUCUUUGUUAGUGUUUUGGCCCACUUGUUAAGUUGUUAUUCUAACCAGACUGUCAACAACAAAAUGUCACGGUUUGUAUGCCGCGGCACACCUUAACUAAUUUUGUUGUAGUAAAGUUACUUAUCAAAUAAAUCCUUAACCAUAUAAUAUAACUUUUUAAAGAUGAGGCGUUCCACAAUUUUUAUGGCUAACAAAUUAUUUUCCAUGAGGAAACUGGGUCUACGAUAAGAGAGGUACUAAAUAUAAUGUUUUGUGGUGUGUGAAAUUUUAGCAGUAAACUAGUUGGUUAGUCUUGCCAAAGAUGUAUCGAAGUGUGGCCACCAAUCGAAAACCCUUAGUAGCCACAAGCCGGCAAUCCUGAACUUCCACUGUUGGAGGAUUUCCAAUUAGAAAAAGGGCGGUCAAAUGUUACAGUUGACCAACAAGUGAAACAUUAAGUUAUAUAUGAAAAAAAAAAUCAGCAACUGAAGCAUUUAAAAAUUUUGUGAAACACGGUGAAGAUACACAUUGAAACAUGUUGCUAUCACAUAUAAAACAACGAGUGUUAACGGAUUGAAAAUAUAUGUUUUUUUUCAUCAAAAUAUAAUCAUGUGAUAUCUUAUUAUAAAGAUUUAAUUACAACGAAUACAAUGGUGCGAUCGGAUUGUAGAUUGGAUAACUAGGUAGGAGAAAAAUCAUUUUGAAGAUCGCUAAAAUGCAUACAUACAUGCAUAGAGUGGAGAGAGAGUAGUGACAAGUAGUCCCGUGAAUUUUGUGAAACACACCACAUAUUGAAACAUAUCACUAUCACGUAUGAGACAUUGAGUUUUAAUGGUUUAAAAGACAUGGUUAUAUUUUAUUAUAAUAUAAUCGUAUGAUAUCAUGUUGUAAAGAUUUAUUUACAACGAAUAC